CGUGCAGAGGGAAUUCCCGGUGUAGCGGUGAAAUGCGUAGAUAUCGGGAAGAACACCAGUGGCGAAGGCGCUCUGCUGGGCCAUUACUGACGCUCAUGGACGAAAGCCAGGGGAGCGAAAGGGAUUAGAUACCCCUGUAGUCCUGGCCGUAAACGAUGAACACUAGGUGUCGGGGGAAUCGACCCCUUCGGUGUCGUAGCUAACGCGUUAAGUGUUCCGCCUGGGGAGUACGCACGCAAGUGUGAAACUCAAAGGAAUUGACGGGGGCCCGCACAAGCGGUGGAGUAUGUGGUUUAAUUCGAUGCAACGCGAAGAACCUUACCAGGGUUUGACAUCCUGCGAACCUCUUAGAAAUUUGAGGGUGCCUUCGGGAAUGCAGUGACAGGUGGUGCAUGGCUGUCGUCAGCUCGUGUCGUGAGAUGUUGGGUUAAGUCCCGCAACGAGCGCAACCCACGUUUUUAGUUGCCAGCAUUUAGUUGGGCACUCUAGAAAGACCGCCGGUGAUAAACCGGAGGAAGGUGUGGAUGACGUCAAGUCAUCAUGCCCCUUACACCCUGGGCUACACACGUACUACAAUGCUACGGACAAAGGGCAGCAAACUCGCGAGAGCUAGCAAAUCCCAUAAACCGUGGCUCAGUUCAGAUCGUAGGCUGCAACUCGCCUACGUGAAGUAGGAAUCGCUAGUAAUCGCAGGUCAGCAUACUGCGGUGAAUACGUUCCCGGGCCUUGUACACACCGCCCGUCACACCAUGGAAGUUGGCCAUGCCCGAAGUCGUUACUCCAACCCUUGUGGAGGAGGACGCCGAAGGUGGGGCUAAUGACUGGGGUGAAGUCGUAACAAGGUAGCCGUACCGGAAGGUGCGGCUG
rnacentral:rRNA from 1 species